CAUAACCACUUGUCAAACUUCAAAAUGACAAAUUAACUGUGUCACAAUUUUCCAAUUGUCGCGUGGCAGAAAAAACAUGAUACAAAAAUUAAAACCAAACGUCUAAGAAAGCAUCAAACUUCCGACACUUACACGACUCUUAAUGCAAAGUGAGAGGGUAAGUAAG